rnacentral:rRNA from 1 species
UCUUCCGCAAUGGACGAAAGUCUGACGGAGCAACGCCGCGUGAGUGAUGAAGGUUUUCGGAUNGUAAAACUCUGUUGUUAGGGAANNCCNNNUNCCGUUCAAAUAGGGCGGCACCUUGACGGUACCUAACNNNANCNCCACGGCUAACUACGUGCCAGCAGCCGCGGUAAUACGUAGGUGGCAAGCGUUGUCCGGAAUUAUUGGGCGUAAAGGGCUCGCAGGCGGUUUCUUAAGUCUGAUGUGAAAGCCCCCGGCUCAACCGGGGAGGGUCAUUGGAAACUGGGGAACUUGAGUGCAGAAGAGGAGAGUGGAAUUCCACGUGUAGCGGUGAAAUGCGUAGAGAUGUGGAGGAACACCAGUGGCGAAGGCGACUCUCUGGUCUGUAACUGACGCUGAGGAGCGAAAGCGUGGGGAGCGAACAGG